rnacentral:lncRNA from 1 species
ACAGUCCCAAGCGCUGAAAAGUGAGUUCGUAACAUAGAGCCGCUUCCCAUCUAAGCUAAGUUGGACCAUUUGAGGUCCUCCUCUCAGCCGAUUUCCCUGAAAUGAAGAAUUGCAACCUUCUAGUUAGAAUCAAGAUGGUCCAUACUAUGAUUAUAUCAGCAUCCAAAAAAAAGUUUGUUUGUGUCAGAGAUGAUGAUUGAACACUUUCAAGACCAGAUACUAUGGCUUCACUCUUCAGGUGAUUUCAUAAGAUAAACAGAAUUUGUUCAGUCAAACACAUAUUUUUAAGAUAGAAUGAUCACGCUGUUACACGUUUCAUUUGCCAAAAUAACAAAGAUUGCCAAAUAGAUACCUUUAUUUCUGGAACCUCAAAUUGCUUUUCGUUACCAUCUUCAUCUUCUGCCACAACUGGGCUUCCCUUUUGAAUCAGUCCCCCAACCCACACUUGGCCUGUCAAUACAGGCUUCUUGGGAUCUUCAAUGUUAUAUUGUCUGAUAUCUCCAUGAAACCAGUUAACAAAGUAGAGGUAGCGGUCAUCAAGAGAGAUGAGAAAAUCAGUGAUAAGACCCGGCAUUUCUGGAAGAAUCCAAUUUUUCACCUUUAAUGGUUGCACCGAUAUUGCUACCUACAAAGUAAAUUGGGAGUACCUUGAACGUCUAUAAGAAUGUUAAACACAGAAAACUUGAUCAGAAUUUGAUGUUGCAUACGAACUUGUACAAUACCUCAUGACUCCAUGAUCCAUCAGCAGUCUUGAAGAAUCUGACCAUAUUGCUGGUUAGUGCACACCCUACAUAUCCAGUAUCCUUAGAAGGAUCAUGAAGGAACCUGAUCUGCAAGAUCAAUAGAGUCACAUACAUUAUUUUGGGUGCACAAUGAGAUAUACCAAGAUACAAGGCCAGGAAUGUAUUCAGUGUCAGAGUAAAGGGUUAUGAAAAGGUACACAUACCUCUAAAGGUACGAGCCCUGUGUUACCCAGAUCCAUUGUCUGCUUUAGUUCACCAUCAGGCCAGCUAUAUACAUGUAGAUGUCUUCCAUAUAAACCAUCUGAAACAUGUUGGAGAUCAAAGCCUUUUGUAAAAGCUGCAGGAGCUCCCAAUGAUGAGCUGAUCAUUGUCUUGUGCCUGGGUUGGUACCAGAAAUCAUAUCCAAAAAGAGGACUGUGACCAGGUUUCUCCCACCUGUACAAUGAGAGGCAUAUUGCAACUAGAAUCAAUAAGCAAUCUGCUCAAGAGCUAUGACACAUAUGCCAUACACGCCAUUUAGGGAAUCUGUUAGCUGAUCCUACUGGUUCAACGCAUUUUAGGCAGUAUGCAUGCAGAACUAACACCUUUUCAUGAAUUAUUCUUAUUUAAAGCAUCAAUAAGAUUCUCGCUAACAGGAUUGUUUGGAAUAAUUGUUAGGUGUUUUUAAUCUUUUAUGGUUGUUGAUGGAACAUGUCUACUUCCACUAUACCAAAGAAAAUAUAUAUAGUAGUAUAAUCUAACCUUCCUUUCACAUUGAACUCUGAAUCAAGAAGAAGAAACCCGUUCCCCUCAGCAUUUCCAUCUUUAUCUCCAAGGCAGGACACCAAGAUAUCACCAGAAGCUAGGCAAUGAGAUGUGUGGGGAAAUGCUAACCCAGUCUUUUGAGCGAUAUCUUCAGGCUCGACAACUUUAUGCAGAACAGGAGCGUUAGGAUUCUUUUGUGUGUCAACAACGUAUAUGCGACUUGACCUGAAAGAACAUAAAAGGAAAAUGUAUUCAUAGGCGGUAUAUUUAGAGGUGUAUACAAUAUACUGUUUAUUACUGAUAAAAGCUAGUAUGAUCAUGGAGUAUAUAAUAUCGGAGCAGAAAAAUCGAACAAUAUCUACCCUACAUAAUCUAGGUGGCAUUUGUGAAAAUUUAUCUUUUAGGGAAGUAGAUCGUUGCACCAAUUGUGGACUAUAGGAUCAAUUGCCAGCAGAAUCUAUAAGAAGAGAGCUUCACCAAAUUCAAGGCGAUGUAAACGCUCUGUUACUUUGGCAACACUUUUUAAGGAACACAGAAGCGGCGUUGAAUUAUAUUCGCGUAAAGAUAUGUUAUUUGUAAGCCCUUGCUUACAACAGUCAUACCAAGUCGGUGUUCAUCAUUUUCAUCAACAAAUAUCACAAACAUUAUCAGUUCUGAAUCUUACACAAAUGAUGGCAAAACCAGGAAACGCCGACUAGCUGAAGCAUCUCUGUGGCAAGAACUGCAGGAGUUCCAACCAGAAUGAUGUAGCUCAUCACCCACGUGCGGCACUGGAAGCCUAUGGAUAACUUGUGAAUAGGUAGGUGAAUUUGGAUCAACAUCCACUGUAGCCAAGUAAUCAGGCUUCUGCCUUCCUGUCCCUAUAUAGAUAAUUUACAAAUUUAGCACAAUUUUCAUCAUAAACUCACUUUAUUUUCUAUUCACAUACUGAAAGGCUCUAAUUGGUUGCUUAAAGGAAUGCUACAAAAAGUUCAUGUGAAACCACCUUCAUGAUCCUUACUACUGCUGCAUAGGUAAUCAUAUGACUUCAUUGCUGGAUCAUAGUUUAUCACCCAUCUUAACAUUGUGAAGCAAAACUUGAAUCAAUAGAGUAAUGUUUAUCAAUUAGUCAUUAACAAUAGCAAUAUUGCCAAUUAUUCCAAAUGUGUUGGACUAUAAGAAGCCUGGGACUAUAAGGUUGGAAAACUACUCCUUCAACAAAUGAAGUAAUGAACUGCCACAUAUCAUCUUCAUUCAAUGGUGAUAAGGCGCAGGUGGCAAUUCAUGUUGAUGAUGGAUUAUACCUCCUAACUCUGGUCCUUCAAUCAUCUAUCUAGCUAUCUGAUUAAACUUAAUCAAGAAAAUGAAAAGAGAAGCAAGAAAUUUGAGAAAAUUAUUACCUGAAUAAACACAAGUAGUAUAAAGAAUAGCUUCUUUAGGACCAGACAUGGCUUCAAGAGGAGUAGCAUAACCUGGUCCAGUUUUCUUACAAUAAGACCCUACUCCAUUCACAGCCACACUUGCGUAUUCCACUGCACUGCUUGCCAUUUUCCCUUCUCCACCUCCUCUCUCUUUUCUGCUCGACUGCUCCUUUUGAAGAAAUACUGUGUGGAACUGCAGGAGAUUGUGUUGUGUGCUGACAAAAAAAAUUAUCUGUGUUUCCUCUAGUAUGUGGUUCGUGUGAUGUGAUCCCAAUCACAAUAUGCCACAUGUCUAUAAAUUAGUUGGAUAACUGAUUCAAACCCACUAGGGUUAACUACACCCAUACUAGUCUAUAUUUUUGUUAACACGUGGCGCGAUGAGAUUGGGACCACGCGACCCACAUACUAGAGGAAACUUACGUAUCAUUCGCUGUAUUCUUGUAGAGUUGUAUGUCAUCUUUCGUUCCUCACAGUAUGCCUUCAAAAGGAGCAGUCGAGCAGAACUACGGUGUUGGUUAUGACACGAAAACGGAAGCAGUGGNNNNNNNNNNNNNNNNNNNNNNNNNNNNNNNNNNNNNNNNNNNNNNNNNNNNNNNNNNNNNNNNNNNNNNNNNNNNNNNNNNNNNNNNNNNNNNNNNNNNUUACUUUGGCAUGCCAAAAAAAUAGUCCAUGCCAACCCUAUUUUACACACGAAGAAGAUAACUACCAAUCGCAUCAUGCCACGUGUUAACAAAAAUAUAACCUAGUAUGGGUGUAGUUAACCCUGGUGGGUAUGACUCGGUUAUCAAACUAAUUUAUAGGCACGUGGCAUAUUGUGAUUGGGACCACAUGAACCACAUACUAGAGGAAACACAGAUAAAAUUUGUUGUGUGCUCAAAAAAUUUUAUCUGUGUUUCCUCUAGUAUGUGGUUCAUGUGGUCCCAAUCACAAUAUGCCACGUGCCUAUAAAUUAGUUUGAUAACCGAUUCAAACCCACUAGGGUUAACUACACCCAUACUAGGUUAUAUUUUUGUUAACACGUGGCAUGAUGCGAUUGGUAGUUAUCUUCUUCGUGUAUUAAAUAGGGUUGGCAUGGACUAUUUUUUUGGCAUGCCAAAGUUAAAUGGCAUGCCGUUUUGCCAUGUCUUUUGCUUCCCCUUGCAUACAUGGCCCAUUUUUCUUGUGUACCAUAUAUACAAAGUUUGGUUGCACUAUAUAAUUUUGUUUAAAUAUAAUCACACUAAAUUAACAAUAAUAGAAUAUAUUAAAAAAAAAUUAGAAUUUCUUUAGAAGAUAUUCAAAUAAAAAAAAACACACAUAUUUAUUCAAAGUCUAAGUUUAAAAGUACCUUGUACUAAGAGCUUAAGACGUCAAUUGCACCAAUUGCUAAUCAAAUACAUUCUUGGAUAAUGAGAUUUUUUAUUCAUUAAAGCGUUUUUGUUACGUGUGAAAUUCUCCAGUUACAAGAACUUUGACAUUUUGUCUCUGUUUAUUACACAGCUUUCAGAAUCUCUCUGUGUGCUUGUCAUACAGUUUUCAAUCUCUAAAUCCAUAUAUCUGAAGUGCAGUCACCACCAGGAUACCGCAUUUCAUGAGCUAAUGAUGGGCCUUCUGGUUCUUGACUAAAAUCAACGUAAAAGUUUGGGUUUAUAACAAGACCUCCACUGAUGGUGUUAACGUCAAUUUGUAGCAUAUGAGACCCUUUCUCUACCAUCUCUGGAUAGAACUGACGGUCCCAAGCACUGAAAAGUGAGUUCGUAACAUAGAGUCGCUUCCCAUCUAAGCUAAGUUGGACCAUUUGAGGUCCUCCUCUCAGCCGAUUUCCCUGAAAUGAAGAAUUGUAACCACCUAGUUAGAAUCACGAUGGUCCAUGCUAUGAAUAUAUCAGCAUCCGAAAAAUAGUUUGUUUGUGUCAGGGAUGAAUUUUGAGCAUUAUGAUUAAACAUUUUUAAAAUCAGAUAAUAUGACUUCACUCUUCAGGUGAUUGCAUAUAAUAAACAGAAUUUGUUCAGUCAACCACAUAUGUUUAAGAUAGAA